GAUCGUUCAAGCAGAGACAAGGGGGUGAAACCCUAGUUUCACCAAAUCCAUCCAAUUGAGAAGGAAAUUCAAGGAAAAAUCGAAUGCAUGAAACCCUAUUUCGAGCAUCAAACCUUGCUCAUUAAAAUGAAGAAAGUUCAAGCACUAAGAAAACGGAAGACACGCAUGAUCGAGGUAAAGCACCUCUAUAGGCGAUUUGGAGGUAUGGGACGAGCACAUGUUCAAGCCUUAUAAUACCAAGCGCUUCCGCAACUUAUAUGCAUGCUUUCGGGUCCAUGUUUUGUUACUUGGUUAAACUUUGUUGAAUUGUUUUAGAUUUGAAAACUCGUUAUUUUUGUUGGAAUGGUUUUAUGUAAAAUGGGUCGUAUGUAAACGUUGUAUGUUAUGUCAAAACAGGGGGUAUGUCCGUUUUACAAACGGGUCAUGCCCAAUUUUUGUAAAAAUUUCUAUUAAGUGUCAAAGUGGUAUUU
rnacentral:lncRNA from 1 species